rnacentral:rRNA from 1 species
UACGAAGGGGGCUAGCGUUGCUCGGAAUGACUGGGCGUAAAGGGCGCGUAGGCGGUUUGUACAGUCAGGUGUGAAAUUCCCGGGCUCAACCUGGGGGCGGCACUUGAGACGUAGGAACUGGAGUGAGGAAGAGGGUCGUGGAAUUCCCAGUGUAGAGGUGAAAUUCGUAGAUAUUGGGAAGAACACCAGUGGCGAAGGCGGCGACCUGGGCCAAUAUUGACGCUGAGGUGCGAAAGCGUGGGGAGCAAACAGG